rnacentral:rRNA from 1 species
CACUCCUUGACAUGGAAAUUAUACCUAUUCGAAGAGAUAGGGUCGGUUCGGCCGGGUUCCACACAGGUGUUGCAUGGCUGUCGUCAGCUCGUGUCGUGAGAUGUUGGGUUAAGUCCCGCAACGAGCGCAACCCUCAUCCUUAGUUACCAUCAGGUAAUGCUGGGGACUUUAAGGAAACUGCCAGUGAUAAACUGGAGGAAGGUGGGGAUGAUGUCAGGUCAUCAUGGCCCUUAUGGAGUGGGCUACACACGUGCUACAAUGGUGGCUACAAUGGGCUGCAAAGUCGCGAGGCUAAGCCAAUCCCUUAAAAGCCAUCUCAGUUCGGAUUGUACUCUGCAACUCGAGUGCAUGAAGUUGGAAUCGCUAGUAAUCGUGGAUCAGCACGCCACGGUGAAUA